GUCUGGAAUCGUAAAGCCUAUAGGCAUCCUACUGCACGGUCAGAAUACACUGAGCAGAGGGUGCAUUUUUAACUUCAAAAACAAGAAUUCCAUUGAGGAACGUAUUACGCAUGGGUAGUUGUAUUUAUGCAUGGAGCUUUGAAUGGCUUUACGUCCUGAGGCUGAAAAUUUGUUUAGUCUGGACCAGAAAGCAGUAAUUUGUGAGGAUUCUGAAGGGAGUCCGGCCUAUUUCCUCAUUUUUAAAAGGAUUCUGAAUCGAGUUUGAUUCCUGUCUAAAGAGAGAAAUGGAGCGGGUGUUUUAUGGACAUGUGGGGGAGGGGGGCGGUCACACAUGCUGGCAAAAGUACUUGGUACUUCAGUUAA